CUCUAGAGAUAGAGCUUUCCCCUUCGGGGGACAAAGUGACAGGUGGUGCAUGGUUGUCGUCAGCUCGUGUCGUGAGAUGUUGGGUUAAGUCCCGCAACGAGCGCAACCCUUAAGCUUAGUUGCCAUCAUUAAGUUGGGCACUCUAGGUUGACUGCCGGUGACAAACCGGAGGAAGGUGGGGAUGACAUCAAAUCAUCAUGCCCCUUAUGAUUUGGGCUACACACGUGCUACAAUGGACAAUACAAAGGGCAGCUAAACCGCGAGGUCAUGCAAAUCCCAUAAAGUUGUUCUCAGUUCGGAUUGUAGUCUGCAACUCGACUACAUGAAGCUGGAAUCGCUAGUAAUCGUAGAUCAGCAUGCUACGGUGAAUACGUUCCCGGGUCUUGUACACACCGCCCGUCACACCACGAGAGUUUGUAACACCCGAAGCCGGUGGAGUAACCAUUUAUGGAGCUAGCCGUCGAAGGUGGGACAAAUGAUUGGGGUGAAGUCGUAACAAGGUAGCCGUAUCGGAAGGUG
rnacentral:rRNA from 1 species